UACUUCCCGGAAGAGGCCGACGCGGUGCGGCGCCUUGUCAGCCCGCUCGACGAUGGCGCGCCACCGCUGAGCGAGGCAGCGGCGUCGGCC
rnacentral:SRP_RNA from 1 species